rnacentral:rRNA from 1 species
AUUGAACGCUGGCGGCAUGCCUUACACAUGCAAGUCGAACGGCAGCACGGGAGCAAUCCUGGUGGCGAGUGGCGAACGGGUGAGUAAUACAUCGGAACGUGCCCAGUAGUGGGGGAUAACCCGGCGAAAGCCGGACUAAUACCGCAUACGACCUACGGGUGAAAGCGGGGGAUCGCAAGACCUCGCGCUAUCGGAGCGGCCGAUGUCAGAUUAGCUAGUUGGUGGGGUAAGGGCCUACCAAGGCGACGAUCUGUAGCUGGUCUGAGAGGACGACCAGCCACACUGGGACUGAGACACGGCCCAGACUCCUACGGGAGGCAGCAGUGGGGAAUUUUGGACAAUGGGCGCAAGCCUGAUCCAGCCAUGCCGCGUGCGGGAAGAAGGCCUUCGGGUUGUAAACCGCUUUUGUCAGGGAAGAAACGCUCCGGGCUAAUACCACGGAGUAAUGACGGUACCUGAAGAAUAAGCACCGGCUAACUACGUG